rnacentral:rRNA from 1 species
GACGAACGCUGGCGGCGUGCUUAACACAUGCAAGUCGAACGGAAAGGCCCUGCUUUUGUGGGGUGCUCGAGUGGCGAACGGGUGAGUAACACGUGAGUAACCUGCCCUUGACUUUGGGAUAACUUCAGGAAACUGGGGCUAAUACCGGAUAGGAGCUCCUGCUGCAUGGUGGGGGUUGGAAAGUUUCGGCGGUUGGGGAUGGACUCGCGGCUUAUCAGCUUGUUGGUGAGGUAGUGGCUUACCAAGGCUUUGACGGGUAGCCGGCCUGAGAGGGUGACCGGCCACAUUGGGACUGAGAUACGGCCCAGACGCCUACGGGAGGCAGCAGUGGGGAAUAUUGCACAAUGGGCGGAAGCCUGAUGCAGCAACGCCGCGUGCGGGAUGACGGCCUUCGGGUUGUAAACCGCUUUCGCCUGUGACGAAGCGUGAGUGACGGUAAUGGGUAAAGAAGCACCGGCUAACUACGUG